rnacentral:lncRNA from 1 species
ACACAGGUUCCGGGGUUCGACCUGCUGGUAGAAAGUGCUGCUGCAUCACUUACUCCUGUCUGACACUGAGGAAAGUUGCCUGCUAUGUUACAGCCUUCCCAUCUGAAAAACAGGAGCAAGAACAACAGUGGUCACUGGACAGAUAUGGACAACCUGUUUACUGUAGCUACCAGUUACACAGAAGGCUCUCAAUGAAUGCCAGCUUUCAUAAUUUGAGAAUAGGACUUGGAGUGACAAAACUGGAGCAGUUCCAGAUAUCUGUUUCCACGGAAGUAAAGAAAAGUGUUAACAUACAUUGCAGGGUAUGGAGCACCCAGUUUGAAACUAAACCCAUUCACUGGUACCUGCAGAAAGCAAAUCAAGCUUUGGUGCAUCUGAUUCAAGU